UACGUAGGGGGCGAGCGUUGUCCGGAUUUAUUGGGCGUAAAGAGCUCGUAGGCGGUUCAACAAGUCGGUCGUGAAAGUUCAGGGCUCAACCCUGAAAUGUCGAUCGAUACUGUUGUGACUAGGAUACGGUAGAGGUGAGUGGAAUUCCGAGUGUAGCGGUGAAAUGCGUAGAUAUUCGGAGGAACACCAAUUGCGAAGGCAGCUCACUGGGCCGCUAUCGACGCUGAGGAGCGAAAGCUAGGGGAGCAAACAGGAUUAGAUACCCUGGUAGUCCUAGCUGUAAACGAUGGAUACUAGACGUAGGAACUGGAUUGACGGUUUCUGUGUCGUAGCUAACGCGUUAAGUAUCCCGCCUGGGGAGUACGGUCGCAAGACUAAAACUCAAAGGAAUUGACGGGACCCCGCACAAGCGGCGGAGCAUGCGGCUUAAUUCGAUGAUACCCGUAGAACCUUACCUGGACUUGACAUAUAGGGUCUAGCUAUAGAGAUAUAGUGUGCAUUAGCGCCCUAUACAGGUGGUGCAUGGCUGUCGUCAGCUCGUGUCGUGAGAUGUUGGGUUAAGUCCCGCAACGAGCGCAACCCCUAUCCUAUGUUGCCAGCAUUUAGUUGGGGACUCAUAGGAGACUGCCGGUGAUAAACCGGAGGAAGGUGGGGGCGACGUCAAGUCAUCAUGCCCCUUAUGUCCAGGGCUGCACGCAUGCUACAAUGGCAAGUACAACGAGUCGCAAUACCGCGAGGUGGAGCAAAUCUCUUAAAGCUUGUCUCAGUUCGGAUAGGAGUCUGCAACUCGACUCCUUGAAGUUGGAGUCGCUAGUAAUCGCAAAUCAGCAAAGUUGCGGUGAAUACGUUCUCGGGGUU
rnacentral:rRNA from 1 species